rnacentral:lncRNA from 1 species
CAAGCCUUAAGGCCAGAGGUCUUAGGUUCAUAUCUGACCUCUGACACUUCCUAGCUGUGUGACCCUGGGCUUGUCAUUUAACUCUCAUUGCCUAGCCCUUACCAUUCUUCUAGCAUUAAUCCAAUAACAGGAUUAAUUCCAAGAUGGAAAGUAAGGAUUUCUUUAAAAAUUCAAAUGUGAUAAGAUAUGGAAAAUAGUUUACAAACCAUAAAACAUUAGAGAAAUGUUCAUUCUUAUUCAUUUUUUUGUCUGCCUAUCUCUUUGUCUCACAGAAUCUAAUAUAAUGAGUGUAAGGUACCUCAGAAGCCAUCUAGUCCAAAUCAUGCCUGGAAAAGAAUCCCUUCAACUAUACCACCAGUUGACAAAAGCUGCCAAAAUCAUCCACUGCAUCCAGGGCCAUUGCCAGUCAUCUUGGUUUAUCUUGGCAUUAAAUUUUAAUGACUCUGGAAAAAAGAGUGAGGCUGAUGACUUUAUGCAACUUAUUGCCAUUUGCAUGGAAGUCAAGAUAUCAUCUGUGAUGUCACUAGUCCUCUGAAAAACUAGGAUGAAAACAAUCAUGGAUAGUAGAAUUAAAGAUUGUUUUAGAGAAGGGGAGACACAUUUGUAUUUAGCAUGUAAGAAGUCAGUAGAUAAUAAGGAGAAGUUGGAGAUUACACUGGGACUGGAAGGUGAUAAAUAGGAUAAUCUCUGAGAGAAGAUAUAUUUUAGAGAUGUUUGCCUUGACAAGGAGAAAGGUUAUCUUUUCAUGAGAGAUGGGUAAAAGAGGAGAUUUGUGAAGAUAUGUGAGAGGUGAAAUCAGUUUUAUUGUUAGUAUAGAGGUAAUGUUAAGAGAACUCAGGAAGAAACUCUGGGACCCAAACAUGAAGUGAGUAGAGUGAGUGGGUCAUCUGGGAAGCAGAAUUUUCAGGAAAACUAUAUUGAUUACAUCAAUACAGAGGAUGACAGAAGAUGGUUAUUAUAAACUAGCCAGUGGAGUUAAAGAAAUUGGCAACUCUUUUUUUUUUUUAAUUUUUAGAGGUUUAUUGAAGACUAAAAUAUAAAGAAAAUACAAGUAAGAGAGGCACGUGUCUAGGCCCUAUUCACGACCACUCACAUCUUGCCUGCUAGGUGGAGAGCUGGGUCUGCUCCCAAGCGGAAGUAGGAAAGAGCGCAGAACCUUUUUACAACCAGGUUAAAUACCCCAUCUCACUCUAGGCCCAGGUGAGGUUACAAGGCAUUCUGGGGAAGUGGAGCAAGGACUUCUGGGGAUUGAAGUCCUGGAUUCAAGUCUCCGUUUGAUCCUCUUUGGGAAGAAGGACUUCCCCAAAGGAUCAUAAAAACAAUCAAUUUAAAGAUUACAAUAAUUUGAGGCUAAGAGAAAAAAAAAAACAACCAAUAAUUGCUGGACGCUUUGACAAAAAGCCAAUUAGGGGAAAUUGGCAACUCUUAAAAGGCAAUCUAGCAGGACAGCUAAUUGGCAUACUGAAUAAAACAGCAGGCCUGGAGUAGGGAGGACUCCCU